AUGCACUGGUUGUUGGAUUCACUCCUCCCAUUCCGCUAGGGGGCUCUGUAGUUGUUUUGCAUUGGUAGUGGAGGGGAGGUGAAACAAGAGAAGAAACUUACGGCAGGCCAGUAAUACACCGAGACUGCCGUUAGCUGAAGCUAACAAGCUGAAGCUACAAUAAAAUCAUAUUCUGCUGGCCUUCAUGAGUGUUGCCCAACGUGUUUAACCGGACGGCACGCCCGUGUAAAAGCACUCGGCAAUAAAAUUAACAACAACGACUAUCUUAUGUUCUUUGUAACACUGGUUUAUACACUGCUUGGAAGAAGAAAGAA